rnacentral:rRNA from 1 species
GAGUUUGAUCCUGGCUCAGAACGAACGCUGGYGGCGUGCUUAACACAUGCAAGUCGAACGUGAUCCAGAGCUUGYUYUGGUGAAAGUGGCGCACGGGUGAGUAACGCGUGGAUAACCUGCCCUGGUAUCUGGGAUAACAUCUCGAAAGGGGUGCUUAUACCGGAUAAGCCUACGGGAUCUUCGGAUUCUGCAGGAAAAGGAGGCCUCUAUUUAUAAGCUACCGUAUCAGGAUGAGUCCGCGUACCAUUAGCUAGUUGGUGGGGUAAUGGCCCACCAAGGCUACGAUGGUUAGCUGGUCUGAGAGGAUGAUCAGCCACACUGGAACUGAGACACGGUCCAGACUCCUACGGGAGGCAGCAGUGGGGAAUUUUGCGCAAUGGGGGAAACCCUGACGCAGCAACGCCGCGUGAGUGAUGAAGGCUUUCGGGUCGUAAAGCUCUGUCAGAGGGGAAGAAAUGAAACGUGCUAAUAUCACGUUUUCUUGACGGUACCCUCAAAGGAAGCACCGGCUAACUCCGUGCCAGCAGCCGCGGUAAUACAAGGGCGMMYUGS